rnacentral:lncRNA from 1 species
UAAUACAAUAGGCAUGGGUAGAAGGAGGUUCAUGCCAUCUAUUAUCAUGAUUAUUGUAAGCACUCUCAAUGGCAGCAUGUCUUUCAGAAAUCAAACAGAGAUUGGCUUGUGAAGCCACAUGUGUUCUAAGAUGUUGAAGAAAGAAACCCCAACCACCAGCGGUUUCACCUUCAACCAGGGAAAAGGCAAUGGGAAAGACAUUGUUGUUGCUGUCUUGUGCAACCGCCAUAAGCAAAAUACCCUUGUAUUUUUCGUAUAACCAUGUUC